AUGGAUGGCUAUGUGCUUUUUAGGAAAGACAGGCCAGGAAAGCGAGGUGGUGGAGUUGCUCUUUAUGUGAGAGAGCAACUGGAAUGGAUUGAGCUGUGCCUAGGGGUGGAUGAAGAGCGAGUCGAGAGCUUAUGGGUAAGGAUUAAAGGGCAGGCUAGCAUGGGUGACACUGUUGUGGGUGUUUACUACAGGCCACCUGAUCAGGAAGAGGAAGUCAAUGAGGCCUUCUACAGACAGCUGGAAGCAGCCUCACGAUCCCAGGCCCUGGUUCUCAUGGGGGACUCCAACCACCCCGAUAUCUGCUGGAAAGACAACACAGCUAGGCACAAACAGUCCUGGAGGUUCCUGCAGAGCAUUGGUGACAACUUCUUGACACAGGUGGUGGAGGAGCCAACAAGGAGAGGUGUGCUGCUGGACCUUGUACUAACAAACAAAGAAGGACUGGUGGAAGAUGUGAAGGUCGGGGGCAGCCUUGGCUACAGUGACCGUGAGAUGGUGGAGUUCAGGAUCCUGCGAGGAGGCAGCAGGGCACUAAGUAGGGUCGCAACCCUGGGCUUCAGGAGAGCAAACUUUGGCUUCUUCAGGGACCUACCUGGAGGAAUCCCAUGCGUCAGGGCCCUAGAAGGAAGGGGCAUUCAAGAGAGCUGGUUAAUAUUCAAACAUCACUUCCUCCAGGCUCAAGAGCAGUGCAUCCCUAUGAGUAGGAAGUCAGGCAAAGGAGGUAGGAGACCUGCGUGGAUGAGCAAGGAGCUCCUGGCAAAACUCAACCACAAGAAGGAAGUAUACAGAAAGUGGAAAGGGGGACAGGCCACUUGGGAGGAAUAUAGGAACGUUGUCAGAGYAUGCAGGGAUGCGACGAGGAAGGCUAAGGCCCGUUUGGAAUUAAAUCUGGCAAGAGAUGUCAAGGACAACAAGAAGGGCUUCUUCAAAUACAUCAGCAGCAAGAGGAAGACUAGGGAAAAUGUGGGCCCUUUGCUGAAUGGGGUGGGUGCCCUGGUGACGAAGGAUGCAGAGAAGGCAGAGUUACUGAAUGCCUUCUUUGCUUCAGUCUUUUCUGCUCAGGCCAGCCCUCAGGAACCCCAGACCCUGGAGGCAAGAGAGAAAGUCUGA
rnacentral:lncRNA from 1 species